GACGAACGCUGGCGGCGUGCUUAACACAUGCAAGUCGAACGGAGCACCCUUGAAUGAGACUUCGGUCAAAGGAAAGGAAUGCUUAGUGGCGGACUGGUGAGUGACGCGUGAGGAACCUGCCUUUCAGAGGGGGACAACAGUUGGAAACGACUGCUAAUACCGCAUGACGCAUUCGGAUGGCAUCAUCUGAAUGCCAAAGAUUUAUCGCUGAAAGAUGGCCUCGCGUCUGAUUAGAUAGUUGGCGGGGUAACGGCCCACCAAGUCGACGAUCAGUAGCCGGACUGAGAGGUUGACCGGCCACAUUGGGACUGAGAUACGGCCCAGACUCCUACGGGAGGCAGCAGUGGGGAAUAUUGGGCAAUGGGCGCAAGCCUGACCCAGCAGCGCCGCGUGAAGGAAGAAGGCUUUCGGGUUGUAAACUUCUUUUAAGAGGGAAGAGCAGAAGACGGUACCUCUUGAAUAAGCCACGGCUAACUACGUGCCAGCCGCCGCCGUAA
rnacentral:rRNA from 1 species